rnacentral:rRNA from 1 species
CAGCAGCGCGGUAAUACGUAGGGCGCAAGCGUAUCCGGAAUUAUUGGGCGUAAAGAGCUCGUAGGCGGUUUGUCGCGUCUGCCGUGAAAGUCCGGGGCUCAACUCCGGAUCUGCGGUGGGUACGGGCAGACUAGAGUGAUGUAGGGGAGACUGGAAUUCCUGGUGUAGCGGUGAAAUGCGCAGAUAUCAGGAGGAACACCGAUGGCGAAGGCAGGUCUCUGGGCAUUAACUGACGCUGAGGAGCGAAAGCAUGGGGAGCGAACAGGAUUAGAUACCCUGGUAGUCCAUGCCGUAAACGUUGGGCACUAGGUGUGGGGGACAUUCCACGUUUUCCGCGCCGUAGCUAACGCAUUAAGUGCCCCGCCUGGGGAGUACGGCCGCAAGGCUAAAACUCAAAGGAAUUGACGGGGGCCCGCACAAGCGGCGGAGCAUGCGGAUUAAUUCGAUGCAACGCGAAGAACCUUACCAAGGCUUGACAUGAACCGGACCGCUGCAGAAAUGUGGUUUCCCCUUUGGGGCUGGUUUACAGGUGGUGCAUGGUUGUCGUCAGCUCGUGUCGUGAGAUGUUGGGUUAAGUCCCGCAACGAGCGCAACCCUCGUUCUAUGUUGCCAGCACGUGAUGGUGGGGACUCAUAGGAGACUGCCGGGGUCAACUCGGAGGAAGGUGGGGACGACGUCAAAUCAUCAUGCCCCUUAUGUCUUGGGCUUCACGCAUGCUACAAUGGCCGGUACAAAGGGUUGCGAUACUGUGAGGUGGAGCUAAUCCCAAAAAGCCGGUCUCAGUUCGGAUUGGGGUCUGCAACUCGACCCCCAUGAAGUCGGAGUCGCUAGUAAUCGCAGAUCAGCAACGCUGCGGUGAAUACGUUCCCGGGCCUUGUACACACCGCCCGUCAAGUCACGAAAGUUGGUAACACCCGAAGCCGGUGGCCUAACCCCUUGUGGGAGGGAGCUGUCGAAGGUGGGACUGGCGAUUGGGACUAAGUCGUAAC